rnacentral:rRNA from 1 species
GACGAACGCUGGCGGCGCGCCUAACACAUGCAAGUCGAACGGAGCUGAGAGAAGCUUGCUUUUCUUAGCUUAGUGGCGAACGGGUGAGUAACGCGUGAGUAACCUGCCCUGGAGUGGGGGACAACAGUUGGAAACGACUGCUAAUACCGCAUAAGCCCACGAUCCGGCAUCGGAUUGAGGGAAAAGGAUUUAUUCGCUUCAGGAUGGACUCGCGUCCAAUUAGCUAGUUGGUGAGGUAACGGCCCACCAAGGCGACGAUUGGUAGCCGGACUGAGAGGUUGAACGGCCACAUUGGGACUGAGACACGGCCCAGAAUCCUACGGGAGGCAGCAGUGGGGGAUAUUGCACAAUGGGGGAAACCCUGAUGCAGCGACGCCGCGUGGAGGAAGAAGGUUUUCGGAUUGUAAACUCCUGUCGUUAGGGACGAUAAUGACGGUACCUAACAAGAAAGCACCGGCUAACUACGUG